UACGUAGGGGGCAAGCGUUGUCCGGAAUCAUUGGGCGUAAAGAGCGUGUAGGCGGCCUGGUAAGUCCGCUGUGAAAGUCCAGGGCUCAACCCUGGAAUGCCGGUGGAAACUGUCAGGCUCGAGUCCGGAAGAGGCGAGUGGAAUUCCUGGUGUAGCGGUGAAAUGCGUAGAUAUCAGGAGGAACACCGGUGGCGAAGGCGGCUAUCUGGACAGAGUCUGACGCUGAGGCGCGAAAGCUAGGGGAGCAAACAGG
rnacentral:rRNA from 1 species